GAUGAACGCUGGCGGCAUGCUUAACACGUGCAAGUCGAACGGGAAGUGGUGUUUCCAGUGGCGAACGGGUGAGUAACGCGUAAGAACCUGCCCUUGGGAGGGGAACAACAACUGGAAACGGUUGCUAAUACCCCGUAGGCUGAGGAGCAAAAGGAGAAAUCCGCCCAAGGAGGGGCUCGCGUCUGAUUAGCUAGUUGGUGAGGUAAUAGCUUACCAAGGCGAUGAUCAGUAGCUGGUCCGAGAGGAUGAUCAGCCACACUGGGACUGAGACACGGCCCAGACGCGUGGGGGGGGGAGUGGUGGGGAAUGUGCCGCGAUGGGCCAAGGCGUGCGGUAGCAGUGCGGGGGGGGGGUGAACGCCAUACGUGUAGUAAUCUUUAUUUCUAGGAAAAGAAAAAGGGACGGUAUCGGAGAGAAAAGCAUCGGCAAAUUCCGAGACAGCGGCCGCGGAAAUAGUGGGAAGAACAAACAUAGGAAC
rnacentral:rRNA from 1 species